rnacentral:rRNA from 1 species
CCUACGGGCGGCAGCAGUGGGGAAUAUUGGACAAUGGGGGGAACCCUGAUCCAGCGACGCCGCGUGAGUGAAGAAGUAUUUCGGUAUGUCAAGCUCUAUCAGCAGGGAAGAAAGAAAUGACGGUACCUGACUAAGAAGCCCCGGCUAACUACGUGCCAGCAGCCGCGGUAAUACGUAGGGGGCAAGCGUUAUCCGGAUUUACUGGGACUAAAGGGAGCGUAGACGGCGAUGCAAGUCUGAAGUGAAAGGCGGGGGCCCAACCCCCGGACUGCUUUGGAAACUGGAUGGCUGGAGGGCAGGAGAGGUAAGUGGAAUUCCUAGUGUAGCGGUGAAAUGCGUAGAUAUUAGGAGGAACACCAGUGGCGAAGGCGACUUACUGGACUGUAACUGACGUUGAGGCUCGAAAGCGUGGGGAGCAAACAGGAUUAGAUACCCUUGUAGUC